UACGGGGGGGGCAAGCGUUGUUCGGAAUUAUUGGGCGUAAAGAGCUCGUAGGCGGUCUGUUGCGUCGGGAGUGAAAACUUACAGCUUAACUGUGAGCGUGCUUCCGAUACGGGCAGACUUGAGGUAUUCAGGGGAGAACGGAAUUCCUGGUGUAGCGGUGAAAUGCGUAGAUAUCAUGAGGAAUACCAGAGGCGAAGGCGGCUCCCUGGACAAUAGCUGACACUCAGGCACGAAAGCGAUGGGGAGCAAAAGGG
rnacentral:rRNA from 1 species